rnacentral:misc_RNA from 1 species
AGAUGAUUGGGAUGAUGAUGAUGUGAACGAUGACUUCUCUCUGCAGCUCAGAAAGGAAUUGGAAAUCAACACUGAGAAGAAAUGAGCUACAUUUGCCCAUGAAUUUGUUUUCUUCUCAAUGUUGGACCAUGUUAUUUCUAUUGUGGGUUCAGAUGUUUCCCUAUGUUUGUACUCCUCCUUAUCUCACUGAUAAAACUUAGUUUUCACCCUUCUUGUUGACAUAUGAGACUUGUGGCACACAAACUUGAAUUUUAGUUACCUGUGCUCUUAGUUUGAGCAGAAAAAUUUGAGUGGUGUUUGAUUGGUUUUCCAUUAUAGGAGAAUGUAU